GUGAUAGCUUGCUAUUAUGGAGCCUAGUGGCAAACGGGUGAGUAACGCGUAGGCAACCUGCCCUUCAGAUGGGGACAACACCUCGAAAGGGGUGCUAAUACCGAAUGACGUUUCCUAGUCGCAUGACCUGGAAACCAAAGGCCGGGCAACCGGUCACUGAAGGAUGGGCCUGCGUCUGAUUAGCUAGUUGGUGGGGUAACGGCCCACCAAGGCGACGAUCAGUAGCCGGUCUGAGAGGAUGAACGGCCACAUUGGGACUGAGACACGGCCCAAACUCCUACGGGAGGCAGCAGUGGGGAAUCUUCCGCAAUGGGCGCAAGCCUGACGGAGCAACGCCGCGUGAGUGAAGAAGGUUUUCGGAUCGUAAAGCUCUGUUGAGAGGGACGAGAGAUAUAAUCAGGAAAUGGGUUAUAGAGGACGGUACCUUUCGAGGAAGCCACGGCUAACUACGUGCCAGCAGCCGCGGUAAUACGUAGGUGGCGAGCGUUGUCCGGAAUUAUUGGGCGUAAAGGGAGCGCAGGUGGGAAAGUAAGUCAGUCUUAAAAGUUCGGGGCUCAACCCCGUGAUGGGAUUGAAACUACUUUUCUUGAGUGCAGGAGAGGAAAGCGGAAUUCCUAGUGUAGCGGUGAAAUGCGUAGAUAUUAGGAGGAACACCAGUGGCGAAGGCGGCUUUCUGGACUGUAACUGACACUGAGGCUCGAAAGCGUGGGGAGCGAACAGGAUUAGAUACCCUGGUAGUCCACGCCGUAAACGAUGAAUGCUAGGUGUAGGAGGUAUCGACCCCUUCUGUGCCGGAGUUAACGCAAUAAGCAUUCCGCCUGGGGAGUACGGCCGCAAGGCUGAAACUCAAAUGAAUUGACGG
rnacentral:rRNA from 1 species